UACGAAGGGGGCUAGCGUUGCUCGGAAUCACUGGGCGUAAAGGGUGCGUAGGCGGAUCUUUAAGUCAGGGGUGAAAUCCUGGAGCUCAACUCCAGAACUGCCUUUGAUACUGAGGAUCUCGAGUUCGGGAGAGGUGAGUGGAACUGCGAGUGUAGAGGUGAAAUUCGUAGAUAUUCGCAAGAACACCAGUGGCGAAGGCGGCUCACUGGACUGGUAUUGACGCUGAGGUGCGAAAGCGUGGGGAGCAAACAGG
rnacentral:rRNA from 1 species